GUGUCAGCCGCCGCGGUAAGACAGAGGGUGCAAACGUUGCUCGGAAUUACUGGGCGUAAAGCGCGUGUAGGCGGACCAACAAGUCGGACGUGAAAGCCCUGGGCUCAACCCAGGAACUGCAUCCGAAACUGUUGGUCUGGAGUGGUGGAGAGGGAAGCAGAAUUCCUGGUGUAGAGGUGAAAUUCGUAGAUAUCAGGAGGAACACCGGUGGCGAAGGCGGCUUCCUGGACACUUACUGACGCUGAGACGCGAAAGCGUGGGGAGCAAACAGGAUUAGAAACCCCCGUAGUCC
rnacentral:rRNA from 1 species